AUGAAUUGGAUACUUCAAGAGAAAAUAAGAGAAUUAUCAGAUAAGGAGAGGCAUGGUGUUUAUUUUGCCUUGCUAGUAAUCGAGCUCAGAGAUGGGUCUGUUCAACCAGACGACAAGCUGCUAAUCUCAACCCUGUUGAACAUAAGUGUACGAUCUGUUGAAAGAAUCUGGGAAGACGCCAAAAAGCAAAUUGCCGAUUGCAAAGAAGUAGAUGGCUCAGGCAAUAAGCCAGGAAGAUCUAGCCGAAAUAGAAAGGAGCUGGAUCUAGCGAGGACCUGAACAAUCCCACUGAAUAAAAGAAGGACAAUUCGAUCUCUGGCACGGUCUAUAGGUGUGGCCCGAUCAACCCUACAUAAGAGGUUCCAGUUGAAUGAGCUCAACCGCAUCACAAGCACUGUGAAGCCUCACCUCAAGCCAGAGAACAAGCUUUGA
rnacentral:rRNA from 1 species